rnacentral:rRNA from 1 species
GACGAACGCUGGCGGCGUGCUUAACACAUGCAAGUCGAACGGAAAGGCCCUGCUUUUGUGGGGUGCUCGAGUGGCGAACGGGUGAGUAACACGUGAGUAACCUGCCCUUGACUUUGGGAUAACUUCAGGAAACUGGGGCUAAUACCGGAUAGGAGCUCCUGCUGCAUGUUGGGGGUUGGAAAGUUUCGGCGGUUGGGGAUGGACUCGCGGCUUAUCAGCUUGUUGGUGGGGUAGUGGCUUACCAAGGCUUUGACGGGUAGCCGGCCUGGGAGGGUGAACGGCCACAUUGGGACUGAGAUACGGCCCAGACUCCUACGGGAGGCAGCAGUGGGGAAUAUUGCACAAUGGGCGGAAGCCUGAUGCAGCAACGCCGCGUGCGGGAUGACGGCCUUCGGGUUGUAAACCGCUUUCGCCUGUGACGAAGCGUGAGUGACGGUAAUGGGUAAAGAAGCACCGGCUAACUACGUG